rnacentral:rRNA from 1 species
UACGUAGGGUGCGAGCGUUGUCCGGAAUUACUGGGCGUAAAGAGCUCGUAGGCGGUUUGUCACGUCGGCUGUGAAAUCCCAUCGCUCAACGGUGGGCUUGCAGUCGAUACGGGCUGACUUGAGUACUGCAGGGGAGACUGGAAUUCCUGGUGUAGCGGUGAAAUGCGCAGAUAUCAGGAGGAACACCGGUGGCGAAGGCGGGUCUCUGGGCAGUAACUGACGCUGAGGAGCGAAAGCGUGGGUAGCGAACAGG